rnacentral:rRNA from 1 species
AACCCACGUGUCUAAACGCUGGCGGGGCCCUAGAGUAUGCUCCUGGGUCAGGACCAACGCUGGCGGCGUGCCUAAUACAUGCAAGUCGAGCGGAUCUUCAUUAGCUAGCUUGUGAAGAUCAGCGGCGGACGGGUGAGUAACACGUGGGCAACGUGCCUGUAAGACUGGGAUAACUUCGUGAAACCGGAGCUAAUACCGGAUAAUCCUUUCCCUCACAUGAGGGAAAGCUGAAAGACGGUUUCGGCUGUCACUUACAGAUGGGCCCGCGGCGCAUUAGCUAGUUGGUGAGGUAACGGCUCACCAAGGCAACGAUGCGUAGCCGACCUGAGAGGGUGAUCGGCCACACUGGGACUGAGACACGGCCCAGACUCCUACGGGAGGCAGCAGUAGGGAAUCUUCCGCAAUGGACGAAAGUCUGACGGAGCAACGCCGCGUGAGCGAUGAAGGCCUUCGGGUCGUAAAGUUCUGUUGUCAGGGAAGAACAAGUACCGGAGUAACUGCCGGUACCUUGACGGUACCUGACCAGAAAGCCACGGCUAACUACGUGCCAGCAGCCGCGGUAAUACGUAGGUGGCAAGCGUUGUCCGGAAUUAUUGGGCGUAAAGCGCGCGCAGGCGGUUCCUUAAGUCUGAUGUGAAAGCCCCCGGCUCAACCGGGGAGGGUCAUUGGAAACUGGGGAACUUGAGUGCAGAAGAGGAGAGCGGAAUUCCACGUGUAGCGGUGAAAUGCGUAGAGAUGUGGAGGAACACCAGUGGCGAAGGCGGCUCUCUGGUCUGUAACUGACGCUGAGGCGCGAAAGCGUGGGGAGCGAACAGGAUUAGAUACCCUGGUAGUCCACGCCGUAAACGAUGAGUGCUAAGUGUUAGAGGGUUUCCGCCCUUUAGUGCUGCAGCAAAACGCCC